rnacentral:rRNA from 1 species
UACGUAGGGAGCAAGCGUUGUCCGGAAUCAUUGGGCGUAAAGCGCGCGUAGGCGGCCUCAUAAGUCCGUUGUGAAAGUCAAAGGCUCAACCUUUGAAAGCCGAUGGAUACUGUGAGGCUAGAGUCCAGAAGAGGCGAGUGGAAUUCCUGGUGUAGCGGUGGAAUGCGCAGAUAUCAGGAGGAACACCAAUAGCGAAGGCAGCUCGCUGGGACGGUACUGACGCUAAGGCGCGAAAGCGUGGGGAGCGAACAGG